UACGUAGGGUGCGAGCGUUGUCCGGAAUUAUUGGGCGUAAAGAGCUCGUAGGCGGCCUGUCGCGUCGGAUGUGAAAGCCCGGGGCUUAACCCCGGAUCUGCAUUCGAUACGGGCAGGCUAGAGUUCGGUAGGGGAGAUCGGAAUUCCUGGUGUAGCGGUGAAAUGCGCAGAUAUCAGGAGGAACACCGAUGGCGAAGGCAGGUCUCUGGGCCGCAACUGACGCUGAGGAGCGAAAGCAUGGGGAGCGAACAGG
rnacentral:rRNA from 1 species